GCGGCUGUGGUGAAGUGGUUAACACAACGGAUUGUGGUUCCGACAUUCGAGGGUUCGAUCCCCUUCAGCCGCCC
rnacentral:tRNA from 1 species